rnacentral:rRNA from 1 species
AGAGUUUGAUCCUGGCUCAGGACGAACGCUGGCGGCGUGCCUAAUACAUGCAAGUCGAGCGAGCCGAACUAAUUGAUUACCUUCGGGUAUGAAGUUAGGGAAGCGAGCGGCGGAUGGGUGAGUAACACGUGAGUAACCUACCCUAUAGUCUGGGAUACCACUUGGAAACAGGUGCUAAUACCGGAUAAAAGGAGAGAUCACAUGAUUUCUUCUUGAAAGGCGGCGUAAGCUGUCGCUAAAGGAUGGACCCGCGGUGCAUUAGCUAGUUGGUAAGGUAACGGCUUACCAAGGCAACGAUGCAUAGCCGAGUUGAGAGACUGAUCGGCCACAUUGGGACUGAGACACGGCCCAAGCUCCUACGGGAGGCAGCAGUAGGGAAUCUUCCACAAUGGACGCAAGUCUGAUGGAGCAACGCCGCGUGAGUGAAGAAGGUUUUCGGAUCGUAAAGCUCUGUUGUUGGUGAAGAAAGAUAGUGAGAGUAACUGCUCAUUAUUUGCCGGUAAUCAACCAGAAAGUCACGGCUAACUACGUGCCAGCAGCCGCGGUAAUACGUAGGUGGCAAGCGUUGUCCGGAUUUAUUGGGCGUAAAGCGAGCGCAGGCGGAAAGAUAAGUCAGAUGUGAAAGCCCUCGGCUUAACCGAGGAAUAGCAUCGGAAACUGUCUUUCUUGAGUGCAGAAGAGGAGAGUGGAACUCCAUGUGUAGCGGUGGAAUGCGUAGAUAUAUGGAAGAACACCAGUGGCGAAGGCGGCUCUCUGGUCUGUAACUGACGCUGAGGCCCGAAAGCAUGGGUAGCGAACAGGAUUAGAUACCCUGGUAGUCCAUGCUGUAAACGAUGAGUGCUAAGUGUUGGGAGGUUUCCGCCUCUCAGUGCUGCAGCUAACGCAUUAAGCACUCCGCCUGGGGAGUACGACCGCAAGGUUAAAACUCAAAGGAAUUGACGGGGGCCCGCACAAGCGGUGGAGCAUGUGGCUUAAUUCGAUGAUACGCGAGGAACCUUACCCGGGCUUGAAAUGCAUCUGACAGGAGCAGAGACGCUCUCUUCCUUCGGGACAGAUGUGUAGGCGCUGCAUGGUUGUCGUCAGCUCGUGCCGUGAGGUGUCGGCUUAAGUGCCAUAACGAGCGCAACCCUCAUCAUUAGUUACCAUCAGGUUAAGCUGGGGACUCUAAUGAGACUGCCAUCGUAAGAUGUGAGGAAGGUGGGGAUGACGUCAAAUCAGCACGGCCCUUACGUCCGGGGCGACACACGUGUUACAAUGGGUGGUACAAAGGGCAGCUACAUGGCGACAUGAUGCUAAUCUCCAAAACCACUCUCAGUUCGGAUCGGAGUCUGCAACUCGACUUCGUGAAGCUGGAUUCGCUAGUAAUCGCGCAUCAGCCACGGCGCGGUGAAUACGUUCCCGGGCCUUGUACACACCGCCCGUCAAGCCAUGGAAGCCGGGGGUACCUGAAGUUCGUAACCGUCAAAGGAGCGACCUAGGGUAAAACUGGUGACUGGGGCUAAGUCGUAACGAGGUAACCA